rnacentral:misc_RNA from 1 species
GUGAAGAACGCAGCGAAAUGCGAUAAGUAAUGUGAAUUGCAGAAUUCAGUGAAUCAUCGAGUCUUUGAACGCACAUUGCGCCCCCUGGUAUUCCGGGGGGCAUGCCUGUCCGAGCGUCAUUGCUGCCCUCAAGCACGGCUUGUGUGUUGGGCCUCCGUCCUCCUCCCGGGGGACGGGCCCGAAAGGCAGCGGCGGCACCGCGUCCGGUCCUCGAGCGUAUGGGGCUUCGUCACCCGCUCUUGUAGGCCCGGCCGGCGCUUGCCGACACAUCAAUCUUUUUUCCAGGUUGACCUCGGAUCAGGUAGGGAUACCCGCUGAACUUAAGCAUAUCAAUAAGCGGAGGA